AUUUAAAUUUCACGCAAUGUUUUAGAAUCACAAGUUAUCAAGGCGAAAGUUAAUGAUAAAAGGAAGUGCACACAUGGCACGUAAACUUGUGUUGACCCCGCAAGAUCAUUGACCAAUAAGAAGUAAGGAAUCCACUCACAUGGUUUUCUACACGUGAAAAAGUGAUAGACAAUUUAGACAAUAAAUCAAAUAGCAAUGUUAUACAAAUCUGACCCCAAGGUCACAUCAGAGACAUCGUAAAAUUUACAAUAUAAAGUUCUCAUUCUUUUUAUCAGUUAAAGCUAUAAAACUACAAAGUUAAUCUUCCCUGCUGUCUUAAAUUAUUUUAUUCCGCUUCUUAAUUAGCAAAUAAAAUUGGUUAU
rnacentral:lncRNA from 1 species